CCUGCAGCAGUUCUGUCAAGUCCCUCCUCAGCUGUAGUAGUUUGUCUUGGUGUGUGGGUUGUUUGCCCUUAUUGAGGUUAUCUAUUGUUUGAUUUUCUGUGAGAAGGGUGGCCAUUGUGGCCUCCCGUUGUUUUUUAAUAUAGCGCUUUUUUGUAAGAAAUGUCCCCUUACUACGCUUUUGUGUGCAUCCCAAAGUAGUGUCAGGGAUGUUUGGGCUGGUGUGUUUGUGAAAUAGUGCCUCAAAACUUUCCUGAUGUCCGAUUUUACGUCAGGUAGAGAGAGCAUGUAGUCGUUAAGGCGCCACUUGGUCACCGGUCUAUAGAGGGGGGACGAGAGCGCGAUAGUCACUGGAGCGUAGUUGGAUCAUGAAGAAGUGCCUUGUUGAGCCAGGAGUCCCACCCACCUGAUUGAGACGCUCUGUCCCAUAGGAGUGGAAGGAAGCCAAGAGCCUCCGAGUGAAUCGGGGUCACGUGACCAGGGCCGCUCUCAAACAGGCGGGACCACUGUGCCUUACAGAACCCAACUCGAUCGGAACCACUUGUUUCUCCCAUACGGCUCUAACGGUUAUGAUUGUCGCCAGUAUCCUCGCCGGAGUUUGAGUUAGUAAGUAUGAACAUGGUACAUUUUCAGUGGAAAAGUAAACAACUU